CUACGGGUGGCUGCAGUGGGGAAUAUUGCACAAUGGAGGAAACUCUGAUGCAGCAACGCCGCGUGGAGGAUGACACUUUUCGGAGCGUAAACUCCUUUUAUAUAGGAAGAAGAUGACGGUACUAUAUGAAUAAGCGCCGGCUAACUCCGUGCCAGCAGCCGCGGUAAUACGGGGGGCGCAAGCGUUACUCGGAAUCACUGGGCGUAAAGAGCGUGUAGGCGGGUUAAUAAGUCAGAAGUGAAAUCCUAUGGCUCAACCAUAGAACUGCUUUUGAAACUGUUAACCUAGAAUAUGGGAGAGGUAGAUGGAAUUUCUGGUGUAGGGGUAAAAUCCGUAGAGAUCAGAAGGAAUACCAAUUGCGAAGGCGAUCUACUGGAACAUUAUUGACGCUGAGACGCGAAAGCGUGGGGAGCAAACAGGAUUAGAUACCCGCGUAGUC
rnacentral:rRNA from 1 species